CUUAUGCCUAGAGGCAUUGCAGGUAUGCCUGUUGUGUCACAUGUCAGUAGGUGGCGGAAAGAAGAGAAAGGUUAUGUCUAAUCUCAGUGUUCGGACCUAUGAACAUCUGGAUGACUGGUAGCCUAAAAUU